CAGCAGCCGCGGUAAUACGUAGGGUGCAAGCGUUAACCGGAAUUACUGGGCGUAAAGGGUGCGUAGGCGGUUCAGCAAGUCUCGUGUGAAAUCUUCGGGCUCAACCCGAAGUCUGCACGGGAAACUACUGGGCUUGAGUAAUGGAGAGGUGAGUGGAAUUUCCGGUGUAGCGGUGAAAUUCGUAGAUAUUCGGAAGAACACCAGUGGCGAAGGCGGCUUACUGGCUCAUUCUAGACGCUGAGGUGCGAAAGCGUGGUGAGCAAACAGGAUUAGAUACCCGUGUAGUCCCUGUCUCUUAUAC
rnacentral:rRNA from 1 species